AUUCCUCGAGAUGGUCCCCAAAUAAAAUGUAGACCAGUGGCCUGAUUUGGGACGGCAGCCAAGAGUGGGUGAUGAUCCUUCUGUGGAUUAUAUAGCUUUUCUGACUCAGACCCCCAGCUGGAGUGAUGAGGCUUAUUUCUUACAGCUUCCUAGGUUGACACAACCUCAUCCCCAGAUUUCAUGACUCUCUUUCACCCAUAGGGGAUGGAUCCCAGAUAACUUGAUAGACUAGAUCAUGUUCUUUGUAAAUUAAAAUACUAAGGGAUCGAGACUGUCCAAUUUCCUCAGACUCAUUGUAAAAUCAUGACCUGUCGAGAAAACAAAUUUCCAGCUCUAAUGUCUUAAUGCCUUUAGUGCUCCCUGUCACCCUCUCCUUUUCUUCUUCCUUUUAAUCAUCCUCUUCUCAUCCACACCUGACCCUCUCCUGCUCCUGUUCAUGCCACAACAUUUACCCAUUCAUCUGCUCCCCUGCUGGCAUAGACAUUUAUUGGUCUUUCACUUCAUCUGGUUACUCGGCUCCAUCAAUCAUCGAUGUACCAAUUUAUUUCUCCAUCAGCUAACCACUCACCUAUUCAUUCACAUAUUAUUUCCUCAUUUAUCUAACCCUUAUUCCAUCUACUCACUCAUGCACCUCCCUAAUAUGACCAUUCCCCACCUAUUAUUUUAAACCAUCUAUCCAUUCUUCACCUGCCAAUCCAUCCAGUCAGCAUCCUCCAACUAGCCUUUAGCAGAUAUACCUAUACAUCAACUCACUUCAAGGUAAUGGAAAUCUUUGCUGUUAUCUCUCCAUUUUGCAAGGGAAGCUUUAUCUAGUUAUUCUUAAGCACAGCAGCUAAACGGUAGGAUGCAUUUUCAUUAUCUUUGCCCAAAAUGCACCCUAUUAAAAACACAUACAUAGAGAAGUGCUCUAGAAAAUUAAGGGCAUAUUUCUUCCUAUCAGGAUGUAUCCCAAUAGGCAGAGGAUAGAGAGUUGGGGGUGCAGUGGAAACACCCAGAUGAGCAGAUGUUGAUGUUUAACUAACACUAGGAAUGCAGGCAAGCAAUGAAUAUAACAAACAACUGAGGAAAUAGACAGGAAAGAUCUCCACUGGCAACCAUUCUUUCUUUUCUGUUUGAUUUUCUGUUGCGUAAAUUACCCAUUUUGAUGAAAAUUAAAGGAUGGACUAAUCGGUACCAAAUCCUAUGAUCAGUUUUAAAAGCCAACACUCUCCAGUUACAAAUCAUGUUCCCUUCUUUUAACAUGUUCAUUUGUCCAUUAGGAAGCUCCCUUCCCCCUUAAGUGUUUUUCAGUUAUUCAUUUAUUCAUUCAUGCACUGAAUUUAGUAAAUAACUCCCUUAAGGGGUUCACUUCUAAAAUGUGAAAACAGCUGUAUACAAAGAAAAAGUACAGUAUCAUAUUGUGACCCUAAGGUGAGAGAUAUGAGCAGGUGGCUGCAGAGGAAGCAAAUUUGGGGAGAUAACUUGGAAGCUUCCAUCCCCUGGCCCCAUUCCAGGGAUUCAGACAGCUAAUUUAUGCAGUGGUUAUACUGAACAGAUAAAUCACUGCAUAAGUAAACGGGGCACCAGGACCACGGGCAUUCAUUGCUCAAGUAUUGACUGGGAGAGUGAAGAAAUGUUGUUGGAGGAAUAAGCAUCUUGAAAGAGUUAAAACUCUUAAUGUCCAAAAGGCCACAAUGUGGUCUUGGUGAAAUCGCUGACACCACCUCCAGGAGAAGGACACAUACCAUCUAGAGAACAUCAAAUCUAGUUAGACUAUGAAGGCAUUUUUUUAAGGGGGGGGCGGUUACCAAGCAUUUUCCAUUGGAUCUCAAAUCUCCAUGAGCCUUUCUGAUGAGGGGAAGGGGAAGCAGAAGCUGGAAGCAUGUGUGGAGCUGAGACUUGAAGUGUGGACUGCAGAAAGAGUGAUCUUAUUGAAUAGUUUCCUCUAAACUGAGCUUCUCCAGGUAAGACCUGACUAAAACUCUGGGAUUUAGAAUGAAAUGCAUGAACCAUUAGCAUUUAAGUGUUUAACAGCAUCUCUUAUUUCAAAAUAAGAAUAUUUGUAGUUCUUACUGGUCCAUUAUUUGCUAUGUCCUAUAAGACAUAGUUGCUUCUAUUUAGUGCCAGUUCUUGAAGUAUUUUCUCUUCAUGUGAUCCUCAUUCUGGACUUAAGUCUUGCCUUCAUUAAUAUGGUGGGAAUAAUACUCACCUCAGAAGACUGUGAGAAUUUUAGGUGUAAUGGGCAAGGGUGUUUACCAUAGGACCUAUUACACCUUGGUUGCAAAAUAAACAUUUUUUGGAGUUUUUUCCCUCCUAUUUUUCCCUCAGCCUUCCCUUGAUGUUCCUACUUGCUUGAUCUUCUAUAAGAUAUAAUCUCAAGGGUGUAUCCUUCAGAAAAUGAAAACAAAAUAUUUUCUAAGUGAUUUAUCUAUUGAAGUUUAAAAAGAAAAAGAAAUGUCUGAGUAUUGAAUUAAUCAAGGACACAAGCUUAGAAAGUGAGACAUUUUUUGGAAGACACCCCAGAGGGAUAUUGAAAAAAAACAGAGAAAGUAGAAGUUAAUUUUCAACCUAAUUAACAUAUAUCGAUAGCUAUAUAUAUAUGAAAGUACUGAGGGUACAGACACGAGAGACAGAAGAUCUGUCCAAGAAAAUCCCAGUCCAGUGAUGGAUUUUAAAUGGUAGCACAACAUGGUAGGUAGCGUCAAGGGUUGGCAGAGCCCAGAAGAGGGCACAGAGCCAGAUGGCAGGGUUCAGCAGUCACUCCCAGAAGGUGAGGUACCUGAUCUGAGUCUUGGAGAGGAAGAAAGAAUUAGCCAGGGCAAGGGAGGGGAAUGACUAAUGGUAGAUGUUCAUCCUUGAUGAAUCUGUGUAAGCCUGAGAAGCAUUGCAAUGUCAAGACCUUCCGAGUGCAGAUUGUUCCAUGAAACAUGAGGAUAGAGGUGGUGCAGCAGGAGAUAGGAGAUGUCUGCAAGAAAGGCUGAGAGGUUGGGACUUGCCCUAAAGGAGAUAGGGGAGGUAUAGAAGGAUGGAAUCAGAAAAGAGGCCAGAUCAUAUUUGCUAUUUAGAAAGAUCUCCAUGGCAGGAGGAUGGAUUAACCUGCAUCGGUCAAGCUUGGAAAUGAUGAACAUGUUAGGGGUCAUUAAAUUAAAUCAGUUAAGGGAUGCCAAAGAGUAACAUGAAUCAAGCAAGUUGGGGUGAAUUUUAGGAGGUGAAUCAAAGGAGAAGGAUUGGGUACCUCGGGUGAUGGAGAAUGGAAAUAGGAGGCAUAUUCCGGGUUUCUGAGUCAGCCAACUGCGAAGGAGAUGGUACAAUUCUAUGAUGCUGGAAAUUAAGGAGGAGGGGGAGGUCCCGUCCAAUUUUUGCUGUAUUCAUUCGCAACCAUCCUUAGAACUUCCAGGUGGAGGGAUUUCAGCACCAUCAGCAUUUUCCUGAGUCAUCUAAUUAUAUCCUCAUCAUCUACAAGGAGUGCCUGAUUUCCUUCCUUUCCUCUGCCUCCCACUUGAAUUCCAUAGGAACGCAAGCUCCCUGGAUCAUCUGCACAUCAUUUAUCACCCUCCAUUUCCUCUGUGUCUUGAUUUUGUCACACAAAGACAUUGCUCAUUGUGAUAGUAGGGGAGAGAGCAGUUCUCUGAUUAGGCAGGUCAAGAAGUAAUAGAUUUAAGUGGGAAGGGGGAAACGGGCACAGCUGUCCCACCACCCACACGGGUUCUGGCAAGUCUCACACUGAAUGCAAGGGGCCAGAGCACUAUCCACUGGAUGAUGGGAGAAUAACUGGGCAACGAGAAUUCAUCUCUCAUAUGUGUUAGAGUCAGGCAAGUCCUCUUUGUCUUUUUACCAUAUUGUUUGAUGCUCACUUGCUUGUAGACAACAUUUCACAAAGGUUUCUAAGUAUUCAGACCUCAUCAGAGAGCUAGUUCUGACUAAGAAGAAUACAUUUAUUUCACUUGAAUGAUUGAAGAAUAUGGAGCACUUUUAGCUCUGUUCAUCUUUUCCCCACUGAUCCUGGAGAGACUUUCCUAAAACUAGGAAUGGCUGGCUCUCAGCAGGAAGCACAGUUCUGCUGCAUCUCCAGGCAACAUGGUUUUCUGGGCGGUCCCAUCAGUGUGUGUCAACACUCAGCCAUGUGAGCUGAGCCCAUGUGUGUGCUUCUCUGAGGUGAGAUAGCAGGAUCUGCCCAGUGAGGAGAACAGAGCUGAAGUCUGAUUCUGCCACGUGAGCGUUUUGUGCCUGUGAGCUUGCAGCAAAGUCCUGACAGCCUCGGUUUCAUCGUCUGUAAAGCAUCGGAUGGGAAGGGCAGGUGAGGCCCUGACCAGAUUCUUGGCCCAGGGAGGUGGCCACGCAAUGAGGUUAACCUCUUCACCCUCUGCUCUGUCUUUUCCCUUUUCCAAGCCACCCCCAGAUCUACCACACAUGAUGGUGGAGAAGAUAUUGUGAGAGGAAUGGCUCUGCUUAAAGACAUCCUUGGAGCUGUCUUUAGGAUCACAGGAAAUCAACGUCUAAGCUCCUGGCCAAGUAUCCAGCUCCCAAAUGUCAAAUAAUAUCCACUACCCCGCACCUCGCCCCCUGCAAUGUCUCCACGCAAUCACUGGCAUUUAAGCAAAAGCACAGGGGACGUCUGUGGAUCCCUCAGUGCCUGGACCCCACUGGAUGGAGGAUGCUUUCCAGGUUGGCUGUUCCUGAAGAAGCAGCUGAGCUGGGCGCUACCCAUGGAGUCUUCUUCCUUUUUUGCUCUCGGCCUCAUUCCCUGCUGGGUGAAUUUGCAAGGAUGGUUGCUCUGGUUACAAGACCAAAUCACUUCACUUUCAGUCUCUUCCUAAGGUCUCAGGGGAAGCAGCUUAUUAGAGAAAUUGUGACUGCCUGGUAGCGUCAGCAAGGACAGUAAAGGGACUCCUGCGAGGUCCUCAGAGACUGGUCCACAAAGGCUCCAGUCCUUCUCUUGAUGAAGCUAGAGUCCCCAUCUCAGUGCUGUGCGAGUAGCGUGGACAACCCCAUCUGUGACUUCUCCUGUCUCACAUCUUCCACUUUGUGUGAUGGGACUCUGGGACCCCCGUCAGUCUGCCUGUUUGACUGUGCCCACUUUGAUGGCAAUUCCUUGUUGAGUUACUGACAGCAUCUCUAUUGUCCCUGCCCUGCUCUUCCCUGCACUGAUCUCUGUUCCAAGGGCAGUUUCCACGCUUCUCAACCUGCCCCUCUCCUUCUUCUAAUUCUUAAGAAACCUGAAAUUGCUGACGGAGAGCAUAAGACAAGAAGACGAUGGUGCCCGGGGGCAAAGAAUCCUGUCACAUAUGUGUGACACACAGUCACAGUGACAUCCACAGGUGGAUGUGACACUAGCCGGUCUAGCCCCUACACGAUAGACUUAUGACAACUGCGAUGUGUGUACAGCGGGGAGGCAGAUGGGGCUGGAGUGCAGAGUGAGGGUGAAACGCUGCUGUUUAUGUGCAUUGAAAUCAUGCAUAGAGCUAGAAGCCUACAUGUGUAUUUAUUUGUAUAAUAUUCAAACAACCUCAAGCAUGACACAUUGUCCUCCUGGAGCUCAGAGGCAUGGGCUAGAGGUUGUCACAUGGCUAGAGGUCAGAAGGGUUGGAAUCCACUUCCACAGCGGGUCCCUCUGACUCCAAACUCUGUGCUCUUUCAGUUCUGCACCAGCGGACCCCUGUUCCCAGGACACAGGCUCCAUCACUGAAGUCUGGGCACGUCCACCACCUUCAUGAGCUGCCAGAAGGGAAGGUGGGGGUUCCAUCUCUGGAAGGAGAAUGGCACCACGUCCCCAGACACUCUCCUCGCCCCGAGGGCAGGUCUAGAAAAUGGCUAUGCCCACAGGCUGAUCCUUUCUACUUUGCCAUCAAGGAACAAGCCCCUGGUUGAGUUGGUUUGGGUGGGUCUGUCCCUAAACCAGGCACACAUCUGAGCCCCUCAGAGAAACAACACACAGGAGGGAACCGUCGAUCCUACAAAAAACAGGAGAGAGGAAAGAAUUUAAUUCCAGCCUCCCGGGACACAACUGAGCAUCAUGUGUAGGAGGGAAUUACUUUUCCUUGUUUUCCAGUUGGGAUAAAACAAGAGAGAUCGCCAAGAAUCUCAGCCUAGGAAGACAGAUUAUGGAUGAAGAUACAGAGUCUACUCAGCCAAACUCGACCCCAUUCAGGAGACUGAGGACCACUGAUUUCCCAUAAAUAUAAAUGCCUAUGUGAAAAUGUCUGUCUGUCUCCACCUACUGAUCUGUCACGUCUGCCCUGUCACCCCCUACUGCCCCUAACUCAGUGACCACAGGCUGUUUGUGGGCUUGCUGUUUCCAAACACCUAUAACAGUGCCUGGCACAGGGUCAACUUCAGUAACUACUGAAUAAGUGAAUCCACGGCUUUUGAGCGGAGGAACAGCAUGAUCAAAACACCCCUGAACAGAGGCCUUGUAGAGAUACUCGGGGGGCCAAUGAAAGGGAGAAAGUCAACACUAGCCAGGUGGGGAGGGGGAGGCCUGGAGCUCUGUGCGGUCCCAACUGUUGAGGUAGGAGGACAUGGGUUGGAAAGGAUGGUGCAGAAAUGAGAGAUGCUAGGAGUUCCCAUCAUGGUGCAGUGGAAACGAAUCCGACUAGGAACCAUGAGGUUUCGGGUUCGAACCCUGGUCUCGCUCAGUAGGUUGAGGAUCCGGCGUUGCUGUGAACUGUGGAGUAGGUCUCAGAUGUGGCUUGGCUAUGGCAUUGCUGUGGCUGUGGCAUAGGCCAACAGCUGUAGCUCUGAUUCAACCCCUAGCCUGGGAAACUCCAUAUGCUGCAGGUGCAGCC
rnacentral:lncRNA from 1 species